AGAUGGUUCAAUUAUCCAAUUUUAUUAUGGAGAAGACGGUGUUGAUGUACAUCGAACAAGUUUUCUCAAAAACUUGAAAGCACUGAAAGAUGUAAGAACUGGAUUUCGGAUUCUUUUAUUGACUAAUAGAAUCUGUGCUGAUUGUGUAAGAGAAAGCACUGAAAGAUGUAUGAACUGGAUUUCGGAUUCUUUUAUUGACUAGUAGAAUCUGUGCUGAUUGUGUAAGAUUUGCCAUACAGAUAAUCCAUUUUUUUUUCCAUUAUACUAAUAGCUUAUUAAUUUUAACGAUGGAUCACACUUUUGAUUAUUUGUAUUUAGUUGGAAAAAUUCAUGUCAUAUGCUGUGUAUUAUACAUCAUUUAGUCAUUUUUGUUUUAGUAUCUUGAUAUUAUUAAUUCUUUAACAGUUCUGGAAGUUAGAAUUUUUGGAAUUUUACUUUAUGCAACAGUGGAGUACCUACGAAACUGGAUGAAGAUGUAAACAGUUCUUAAG
rnacentral:lncRNA from 1 species